rnacentral:rRNA from 1 species
UACGUAGGGGGCAAGCGUUGUCCGGAAUUAUUGGGCGUAAAGAGCGCGUAGGCGGUCCGAUAAGUCGGCUGUGAAAGUCAGGGGCUCAACCCUUGAAAGCCGGCCGAUACUGUCGGACUAGAGUCCGGAAGAGGCAAGUGGAAUUCCCGGUGUAGCGGUGAAAUGCGCAGAUAUCGGGAGGAACACCAAUGGCGAGGGCAGCUUGCUGGGACGGUACUGACGCUGAGGCGCGAAAGCGUGGGGAGCAAACAGG